rfam:Zea mays cultivar B73 chromosome 10, whole genome shotgun sequence.
AUCUUUUUUAGGUCUUUUGGCUAAGAUAUAGUACUUUUGUGUAAUAUUUGUUUUUAUCCGUUUAAUAUCUGGUAUGUGGAACACAUGACCAUUUUGAUAUUAAAUUUAUUUUUUGUGGGACCGGCUUGGAAUCGGGGCCUCAUGUGUCGCUCCAAUCAUUACGCUACCGGUAAGGUCUGGCCUACCCAAC